rnacentral:rRNA from 1 species
CACAAGCAAGAUGACCCGCUGGACUUAAGCAUAUUAUUAAGCGGAGGAAAAGAAAUUAACAAAGAUUACCUUAGUAAGGGCGACUGAACCGGUAAAAGCUCGAAAUUGGAAUCAGUGAUUCAACGAAUCUCUGAAUUGUAAUCAGGACAACCUAAAUACUGUAAGCAUUUUAAUAGGCUCGAAAGCCUGACCAAAGAGGGUGCUAGUCCCGUAAAAAUGUAGACAGAGCAAGGUUGGAUCCACAAGAGUCAGGUUGCUUGGAACUGCAGCCUUAAGCGGGAGAUAUGAUUCUUCCAAAGCUAAAUAUGGAUGGGAAACCGAUAGCGAACAAGUACUGUGAAGGAAAGAUGAAAAGGACUUUGAAAAGAGAGUGAAAAGAUCUGAAAUCGUUGAGAAGGAAGC